rnacentral:rRNA from 2 species
AGUAACGGCGAGUGAAGCGGCAACAGCUCAAAUUUGAAAUCUGGCGCAAGCCCGAGUUGUAAUUUGUAGAGGAUGCUUCUGGGUAGCGACCGAUCUAAGUUCCUUGGAACAGGACGUCAUAGAGGGUGAGAAUCCCGUAUGUGACCGGCCCGCACCCUUUACGUAGCUCCUUCGACGAGUCGAGUUGUUUGGGAAUGCAGCUCUAAAUGGGAGGUAAAUUUCUUCUAAAGCUAAAUACCGGCCAGAGACCGAUAGCGCACAAGUAGAGUGAUCGAAAGAUGAAAAGUACUUUGGAAAGAGAGUUAAAAAGCACGUGAAAUUGUUGAAAGGGAAGCGCCUGCAACCAGACUUCGCGGCAGUGUUCCGCCGGUCUUCUGACCGGUUCAUUCUCUGUCGCGAGGCCAUCAUCGUCUGGGCCCGCCGGAUAAGACCUGAGGAAUGUGGCUCCCCCUCGGGGGAGUGUUAUAGCCUCUGGUGAUGCGGCGUGGCUCGGGCGAGGUCCGCGCUUCGGCAAGGAUGAUGGCGUAAUGGUUGUCGGCGGCCCGUCUUGAAACACGGACCAAGGAGUCUAACAUCUAUGCGAGUGUUCGGGUGUCAAACCCCUACGCGUAAUGAAAGUGAACGGAGGUGGGAACCGCAAGGUGCACCAUCGACCGAUCCUGAUGUCCUCGGAUGGAUUUGAGUAAGAGCAUAGCUGUUGGGACCCGAAAGAUGGUGAACUAUGCCUGAAUAGGGUGAAGCCAGAGGAAACUCUGGUGGAGGCUCGCAGCGGUUCUGACGUGCAAAUCGAUCGUCAAAUUUGGGUAUA